rnacentral:rRNA from 1 species
UACGGAAGGGCAGCAGUGGGGAAGUAUUGCACAAUGGGCGCAAGCCUGAUGCAGCCAUGCCGCGUGUAUGAAGAAGGCCUUCGGGUUGUAAGUACUUUCAGUCGUGAGGAAGGUGUUAAGGUUAAUAACCUUAGCAAUUGACGUUAGCGACAGAAGAAGCACCGGCUAACUCCGUGCCAGCAGCCGCGGUAAUACGGAGGGUGCGAGCGUUAAUCGGAAUUACUGGGCGUAAAGGGCACGCAGGCGGUUAAUUAAGUUGGAUGUGAAAUCCCCGGGCUUAACCUGGGAAUGGCAUUCAAGACUGGUUAGCUAGAGUCUUGUAGAGGGGGUAGAAUUCCAUGUGUAGCGGUGAAAUGCGUAGAGAUGUGGAGGAAUACCGGUGGCGAAGGCGGCCCCCUGGACAAAGGACUGACGCUCAUGUGCGAAAGCGUGGGGAGCAAACAGGGAUUAGAUACC